AAGUCGUAACAAGGUUUCCGUAGGUGAACCUGCGGAAGGAUCAUUAAUGAAUUUAAAAGGUUGUAGCUGGCUUUUCGAAGCAUGUGCACGCCUUUCACAUUCUGACUCCUACACCUGUGCACUUUUCGUAGGCCGGAUUCGAAUGAAAUCGGCCUAUGUUUUUUUAAUACACCCUUUUGAAAAGUUUGGAAUGUCAUGUUGCGGGUUCGCCCUAAAAAGUGAACUCUAUAAACUUUAUACAACUUUCAACAACGGAUCUCUUGGCUCUC
rnacentral:misc_RNA from 1 species